rnacentral:rRNA from 1 species
AGUGAACGCUGGCGGUAGGCCUAACACAUGCAAGUCGAACGGCAGCACAGUAAGAGCUUGCUCUUACGGGUGGCGAGUGGCGGACGGGUGAGGAAUACAUCGGAAUCUACUUUUUCGUGGGGGAUAACGUAGGGAAACUUACGCUAAUACCGCAUACGACCUACGGGUGAAAGCAGGGGAUCUUCGGACCUUGCGCGAUUGAAUGGGCCGAUGUCGGAUUAGCUAGUUGGCGGGGUAAAGGCCCACCAAGGCGACGAUCCGUAGCUGGUCUGAGAGGAUGAUCAGCCGCACUGGAACUGAGACACGGUCCAGACUCCUACGGGAGGCAGCAGUGGGGAAUAUUGGACAAUGGGCGCAAGCCUGAUCCAGCCAUACCGCGUGGGUGAAGAAGGCCUUCGGGUUGUAAAGCCCUUUUGUUGGGAAAGAAAAGCAGCAGGUUAAUACCCCGCUGUUCUGACGGUACCCAAAGAAUAAGCACCGGCUAACUUCGUG